rnacentral:rRNA from 1 species
GAUGAACGCUGGCGGCGUGCCUAACACAUGCAAGUCGAGCGAUUCUCUUCGGAGAAGAGCGGCGGACGGGUGAGUAACGCGUGGGUAACCUGCCCUGUACACACGGAUAACAUACCGAAAGGUAUGCUAAUACGGGAUAACAUAAGAAAUUCGAAUGUUUUUCUUAUCAAAGCUCCGGCGGUACAGGAUGGACCAGCGUCUGAUUAGCUAGUUGGUGAGGUAAUGGCUCACCAAGGCGACGAUCAGUAGCCGACCUGAGAGGGUGAUCGGCCACAUUGGAACUGAGACACGGUCCAAACUCCUACGGGAGGCAGCAGUGGGGAAUAUUGCACAAUGGGCGAAAGCCUGAUGCAGCAACGCCGCGUGAGCGAUGAAGGCCUUCGGGUCGUAAAGCUCUGUCCUCAAGGAAGAUAAUGACGGUACUUGAGGAGGAAGCCCCGGCUAACUACGUGCCAGCCGCCGCCGUAA